CCCCCUCUCUAACUGCAUGUACGAUGCUCUUCCAGGUUGACCUAUGGAUAAACUUCUACUACAUAUAAAAUAGAUACUCCAUUCAGCGGGUUAGGCUAAUAUGAAACGUUGUGCAUAAUUCAGAACAUUCCUAUGACAACAGUAAUGUACUGUACUAAUACACAUUAAAGACGUAUGAUAUGACUAUAUAUGGCAAGGACAGGGGAAACUCUGCUCACAUAGCAGAUAAAACUCAUUUCAACUCUCCACCUCAGCAUUCCUCCUUUUCCUCCUCCUCCCGUUGAAUUCAUUUCAUUCAAAAUGAUGAGAGCAAAGUUAAGGCAACAGACAGACAGUCUGACACAGAGGGAGAGGAGGGGUGAGGGGCUUGUUGCUUGGAGACAGAACCAUCUUCCUUCCCAUGUUUCUUCCCAGUGGAGGGAGGUAGGGGGGGAGUGAAGGGGGGGGUUCCAGGGUUCAAAGCUUAGAGGUGAAGCCCAGUUCAAAGUUCAGUCAUCCAGGUCUGUGCUCUGCUGUCCCUCUGUCUGUCUGUCACACCAGUGUGAUCUCCACCUCCUCAGUCUUCUCUGUCUAUCUAUCUGUCACACCAGUGUGAUCUCCACCUCCUCAGUCUUCUCUGUCUGUCUAUCUGUCACACCAGUGUGAUCUCCACCUCCCCAGUCUUGUCUGUCUGUCACACCAGUGUGAUCUCCACCUCCUCAGUCUUCUCUGUCUGUCUGUCUGUCACACCAGUGUGAUCUCCACCUCCUCAGUCUUCUCUGUCUAUCUGUCACACCAGUGUGAUCUCCACCUCCUCAGUCUUCUCUGUCUGUCUGUCUGUCUUCUUGUCUGUCUGUCACACCAGUGUGAUCUCCACCUCCUCAGUCUUCUCUGUCUGUCUGUCUGUCACACUAGUGUGAUCUCCACCUCCUCAGUCUUCUCUGUCUGUCUGUCACACUAGUGUGAUCUCCACCUCCUCAGUCUUCUCUGUCUGUCUGUCACACCAGUGUGAUCUCCACCUCCUCAGUCUUCUCCAUCUGUCUGUCACACCAGUGUGAUCUCCACCUCCUCAGUCUUCUCCGUCUGUCUGUCACAUCAGUGUGAUCUCCACCUCUUCAGUCUUCUCCGUCUGUCUGUCACACCAGUGUGAUCUCCACCUCCUCAGUCUUCUCCAUCUGUCUGUCACACCAGUGUGAUCUCCACCUCCUCAGUCUUCUCCAUCUGUCUGUCACAUCAGUGUGAUCUCCACCUCUUCAGUCUUCUCCAUCUGUCUGUCUGUCUGUCACACCAGUGUGAUCUCCACCUCUUCAGUCUUCUCCAUCUGUCUGUCUGACUGUCACACCAGUGUGAUCUCCACCUCCUCAGUCUUCUCUGUCUGUUUGCGAGGUUUCUGCUUGGGGGCGGAGGUGCUGCACGGACCUAUGAGGGGAGAGAGGGGGGUCAUUUAACACACAUGCAGCACUGUUGCCUCAAUGAUU
ensembl:lncRNA